GAGACCAUGACACUGAUUCUGAAGGCGAAGCUAGGCAUGCCCCAGUUUCUGAGCACUGAAGCCCAGAGCCUCUUGCGGGCCCUGUUCAAGCGGAAUCCUGCCAACCGGCUCGGUUCCUCGUCUCAAUGGGAGAUGAUGAUCCCAAGCUUGCUUCAGGGCUCUGUUGAUGAAAUGAGGUUGUGUGAACAUGCCGGCAUGUAGCUCCGGCCCUGAUGGGGCAGAGGAAAUCAAGCGGCAUGUCUUCUACUCCACCAUUGACUGGAAUAAGCUAUACCGUCGUGAGAUCAAGCCACCCUUCAAGCCA
rnacentral:ncRNA from 2 species